rnacentral:rRNA from 1 species
AUUGAACGCUGGCGGCAUGCUUUACACAUGCAAGUCGAACGGAUCUAGGGGCUUGCUCCUAGGUUAGUGGCGAACGGGUGAGUAAUGCAUCGGAACGUACCGUGUAGUGGGGGAUAACCUGGCGAAAGUCAGAUUAAUACCGCAUACGAUCUACGCAUGAAAGCGGGGGACCUUCGGGCCUCGCCCUAUACGCGCGGCCGAUGUCGGAUUAGCUAGUUGGUGAGGUAAAGGCUCACCAAGGCGACGAUCCGUAGCGGGUCUGAGAGGAUGAUCCGCCACACUGGGACUGAGACACGGCCCAGACUCCUACGGGAGGCAGCAGUGGGGAAUUUUGGACAAUGGACGCAAGUCUGAUCCAGCCAUGCCGCGUGAGUGAAGAAGGCCUUCGGGUUGUAAAGCUCUUUUGUCAGGGAGCAAAUCCUGCCUGCUAAUACUAGGUGGGGAUGAGAGUACCUGAAGAAUAAGCACCGGCUAACUACGUGCCAGCAGCCGCCGUAACAC